rnacentral:tRNA from 1 species
UGCAGGAUGUAGCUCAGUGACAGAGUGUUUGCCUAACAUACAUAAGGCCUUGGGUUCAAACACCAACACUGCAG